rnacentral:tRNA from 1 species
GCCCUCGUAGUUCAACGGAUAGAACUCCUCUCUCCUAAAGAGGGAAUGGAAGUUCGACUCUUCCCGAGGGCA